rnacentral:rRNA from 1 species
CAAGNCGAGCGGCAGCGGGUCCUUCGGGAUGCCGGCGAGCGGCGGACGGGUGAGUAAUGCCUAGGAAUCUGCCUGGUAGUGGGGGAUAACUCGGGGAAACUCGAGCUAAUACCGCAUACGUCCUACGGGAGAAAGCGGGGGAUCUUCGGACCUCGCGCUACCAGAUGAGCCUAGGUCGGAUUAGCUAGUUGGUGAGGUAAAGGCUCACCAAGGCGACGAUCCGUAGCUGGUCUGAGAGGAUGAUCAGCCACACUGGAACUGAGACACGGUCCAGACUCCUACGGGAGGCAGCAGUGGGGAAUAUUGGACAAUGGGGGGAACCCUGAUCCAGCCAUGCCGCGUGUGUGAAGAAGGCCUUAUGGUUGUNAAGCACUUUAAGCGAGGAGGAGGCUACUGAGACUAAUACUCUUGGUAGUGGACGUUACUCGCAGAAUAAGCACCGGCUAACUUUGUGCCAGCAGCCGCGGUAAUACAGAGGGUG